rnacentral:rRNA from 1 species
UACGAAGGGGGCUAGCGUUGCUCGGAAUGACUGGGCGUAAAGGGCGCGUAGGCGGCAUACACAGUCAGAUGUGAAAUUCCUGGGCUCAACCUGGGGACUGCAUUUGAUACGUGUAAGCUAGAGUGGAGAAGAGGGUCGUGGAAUUUCCAGUGUAGAGGUGAAAUUCGUAGAUAUUGGAAAGAACACCGGUGGCGAAGGCGGCGACCUGGUCUUUAACUGACGCUGAGGCGCGAAAGCGUGGGGAGCAAACAGGGAUUAGAUACCCUGGUAGUCCACGCUGUUAACGAUGUGUGCUGGAUGUUGGGAAACUUAGUUUUUCAGUGUCGUAGCUAACGCGAUAAGCACACCGCCUGGGGAGUACGGCCGCAAGGUUGAAACUCA